rnacentral:rRNA from 1 species
UACGAAGGGGGCUAGCGUUGCUCGGAAUCACUGGGCGUAAAGCGCACGUAGGCGGAUUGUUAAGUCAGGGGUGAAAUCCUGGAGCUCAACUCCAGAACUGCCUUUGAUACUGGCGAUCUCGAGUCCGGGAGAGGUGAGUGGAACUGCGAGUGUAGAGGUGAAAUUCGUAGAUAUUCGCAAGAACACCAGUGGCGAAGGCGGACUCACUGGCCCGGUACUGACGCUGAGGUGCGAAAGCGUGGGGAGCGAACAGG